CUACCCCUCUGGCUGUGAAACAGCUCCCCAGACAGAGUCACAGAAAACUGGGAGGAGCCCAGCUACAGAAAGGUUGCCAUUGCCAGCUCCAUUUGAUGCUGCCUUGGGACAAGGUGAAUGCUUGACUUCCUGAUUACAAUGAA